rnacentral:lncRNA from 10 species
GGUGACUGUCAGCACAGCUGAUGUGUCUUUUUUGUGCAAGAGAUUUCUCUGAUCAUAACUCAAGCAAAGCAAUUUUUUUUUAUUUUUCUUUUUUUUAGAGUCAGGAUCUCACUCUGUCACCCAUGCUGGAGUGCAGUGGUGCAGUUAUGGCUCAUUGCAGCCUCAAACUCCUGGGCUUAAAUGAUCUUCCCACCUCAGCCUCCUGAGUAGCUGGGACUACAGGUGUGCACCACCACACCUGACUAAUUUUUUAAUAAAUGUUUUUGUUGAGGCAGUGUCUCACUAAGAUGCCUAGGUCGGUCUCAAACUUCCGGCCUACGUGACCUUCCCACCUCAACCUCUCAAGUUGCUGGGAUUACAGGCCAAUUUUUUUUUUCUUUCUUUCUGAAUCACAGUGUAAGAUCCUGGCUUGAUAUUUGACUAGGGGACUUUUUGGAGAUCCAUUUAAAUGUAUCUUAGAAUGGGCAGCUGAAACACUCCAUAAACCCAAAGCCUUAGACCGGAACAACUGCUGUGUAUGUUCUCUUUCACAGAGCACCAGCCUCCCUACAUCAUUGCAGUGUUGCCUCGAUAUGUUGAGAUCCGAACAUUUGAACCGAGGCUUCUGGUCCAAAGCAUUGAAUUGCAAAGGCCCCGUUUCAUUACCUCAGGAGGAUCAAACAUUAUCUAUGUGGCCAGCAAUCAUUUUGUUUGGAGACUCAUCCCUGUCCCCAUGGCAACCCAAAUCCAACAACUUCUCCAGGACAAGCAGUUUGAAUUGGCUCUGCAGCUCGCAAUCCCACCCAUGUGAU